UUGAAGAUGGAAAAAAAGUUAUAAAUUGCAAUAUAUAGCAGAAUAUUGCAGUAUGUUUGAAAUCCCAAUAACAUCGUAUUGUGACAUAAGUAUCAUGAUGAUAUUGUUUCGGGAGGAGUCAGGUUGUUCCCACCCCUUCUCAUGGGCUU